rnacentral:rRNA from 1 species
AUUGAACGCUGGCGGCAGGCCUAACACAUGCAAGUCGAGCGGAUGAAGGGAGCUUGCUCCUGGAUUCAGCGGCGGACGGGUGAGUAAUGCCUAGGGAUCUGCCUGGUAGUGGGGGAUAACGUCCGGAAACGGGCGCUAAUACCGCAUACGUCCUGAGGGAGAAAGUGGGGGAUCCUCGGACCUCACGCUAUCAGAUGAGCCUAGGUCGGAUUAGCUAGUUGGUGGGGUAAAGGCCUACCAAGGCGACGAUCCGUAACUGGUCUGAGAGGAUGAUCAGUCAUACUGGAACUGAGACACGGUCCAGACUCCUACGGGAGGCAGCAGUGGGGAAUAUUGGACAAUGGGCGAAAGCCUGAUCCAGCCAUGCCGCGGGUGUGAAGAAGGUCUUCGGAUUGUAAAGCACUUUAAGUUGGGAGGAAGGGCAGUAAGUUAAUACCUUGCUGUUUUGACGUUACCAACAGAAUAAGCACCGGCUAACUUCGU